CAGCCGCCGCGGUAAAACCAGCACCUCAAGUGGUCAGGAUGAUUAUUGGGCCUAAAGCAUCCGUAGCCGGCUCUGUAAGUUUUCGGUUAAAUCUGUACGCUCAUCGUACAGGCUGCCGGGAAUACUGCAGAGCUAGGGAGUGGGAGAGGUAGACGGUACUCGGUAGGAAGGGGUAAAAUCCUUUGAUCUAUUGAUGACCACCUGUGGCGAAGGCGGUCUACCAGAACACGUCCGACGGUGAGGGAUGAAAGCUGGGGGAGCAAACCGGAUUAGAUACCCGGGUAGUCCCAGCUGUAAACUAUGCAAACUCAGUGAUGCAUUGGCUUGUGGCCAAUGCAGUGCUGCAGGGAAGCCGUUAAGUUUGCCGCCUGGGAAGUACGUACGCAAGUAUGAAACUUAAAGGAAUUGGCGGGGGAGCAC
rnacentral:rRNA from 2 species